rnacentral:rRNA from 1 species
GAUSAACGSUSGCGGCGUGCCUAAUACAUGCAAGUCGAACGAGUUCUCGUUGAUGAUCGGUGCUUGCACCGAGAUUCAACAUGGAACGWGUGNCGGACGGGUGAGUAACACGUGGGUAACCUGCCCUUAAGUGGGGGAUAACAUUUGGAAACAGAUGCUAAUACCGCAUAGAUCCAAGAACCGCAUGGUUCUUGGCUGAAAGAUGGCGUAAGCUAUCGCUUUUGGAUGGACCCGCGGCGUAUUAGCUAGUUGGUGAGGUAAUGGCUCACCAAGGCGAUGAUACGUAGCCGAACUGAGAGGUUGAUCGGCCACAUUGGGACUGAGACACGGCCCAAACUCUACGGGAGGCAGCAGUAGGGAAUCUUCCACAAUGGACGCAAGUCUGAUGGAGCAACGCCGCGUGAGUGAAGAAGGCUUUCGGGUCGUAAAACUCUGUUGUUGGAGAAGAAUGGUCGGCAGAGUAACUGUUGUCGGCGUGACGGUAUCCAACCAGAAAGCCACGGCUAACUACGUGCCAGCAGCCGCGGUAAUACGUAGGUGGCAAGCGUUAUCCGGAUUUAUUGGGCGUAAAGCGAGCGCAGGCGGUUUUUUAAGUCUGAUGUGAAAGCCCUCGGCUUAACCGAGGAAGCGCAUCGGAAACUGGGAAACUUGAGUGCAGAAGAGGACAGUGGAACUCCAUGUGUAGCGGUGAAAUGCGUAGAUAUAUGGAAGAACACCAGUGGCGAAGGCGGCUGUCUGGUCUGUAACUGACGCUGAGGCUCGAAAGCAUGGGUAGCGAACAGGAUUAGAUACCCUGGUAGUCCAUGCCGUAAACGAUGAAUGCUAGGUGUUGGAGGGUUUCCGCCCUUCAGUGCCGCAGCUAACGCAUUAAGCAUUCCGCCUGGGGAGUACGACCGCAAGGUUGAAACUCAAAGGAAUUGACGGGGGCCCGCACAAGCGGUGGAGCAUGUGGUUUAAUUCGAAGCAACGCGAAGAACCUUACCAGGUCUUGACAUCUUUUGAUCACCUGAGAGAUCAGGUUUCCCCUUCGGGGGCAAAAUGACAGGUGGUGCAUGGUUGUCGUCAGCUCGUGUCGUGAGAUGUUGGGUUAAGUCCCGCAACGAGCGCAACCCUUAUGACUAGUUGCCAGCAUUUAGUUGGGCACUCUAGUAAGACUGCCGGUGACAAACCGGAGGAAGGUGGGGAUGACGUCAAAUCAUCAUGCCCCUUAUGACCUGGGCUACACACGUGCUACAAUGGAUGGUACAACGAGUUGCGAGACCGCGAGGUCAAGCUAAUCUCUUAAAGCCAUUCUCAGUUCGGACUGUAGGCUGCAACUCGCCUACACGAAGUCGGAAUCGCUAGUAAUCGCGGAUCAGCACGCCGCGGUGAAUACGUUCCCGGGCCUUGUACACACCGCCCGUCACACCAUGAGAGUUUGUAACACCCGAAGCCGGUGGCGUAACCCUUUUAGGGAGCGAGCCGUCUAAGGUGGGACAAAUGAUUAGGGUGAAGUCGUAACAAGGUAGCCNUAGG